UGUUAAUCAAGGAAGGUUCGUUUAAGCAUUAAUGCUUGUGGAUCUAUAUUGAUGGUCAUUGGUCAAGACAGUGUUUGGAAUCACAUGGUUAAGUGUCAGGAUUUUUUUCUCAAAUUUAUUAUGGUAAUGGGGUACGUGAAAGGUACGAAACUGUGGGAAGAUUACAUAGACAAUCAAGUCUAGUAGAAAAAGAUAAGAUUGGACCAGCAAGAGAUUGGUAUGUAUACAAAGUACAAUACCCUAAGCCCUCUAUCACCUGUCUCUUUCCUCUGUACUUCGCCUUCCCUCUUUUGUUUCCUUCCUCCCCACUCACAGCAACUAAGGCAGUCAAUUUUCAGCUAGGAUUUAUAGCCUUGAGAAAGAAAAAAAAGUGAAUACUACUGCCUUGAAAGUUACAUCUACAUGAUGAUGAUAUAUUAACUAGAGUAUGCUAAGUUGCAAAAGUGAUAAAGUAAGCUAGAUUUGUGGGUUAAAGACAAACCUUUUGCAGAGUUCCCGAAAUGGGAUUAGUUUUGUGAGUUUGUAUGGGUUUACCCUCAAAGGAACCAAUCAACUUUCUGGUCAGAGGCUCGGUCUUUUUGGGCAUUUCAUUUACAUAUUAAUAUUGAACACCC
rnacentral:lncRNA from 1 species